AUUGAACGCUGGCGGCAGGCCUAACACAUGCAAGUCGGACGGUAGCACAGAGAGCUUGCUCUCGGGUGACGAGUGGCGGACGGGUGAGUAAUGUCUGGGGAUCUGCCCGAUAGAGGGGGAUAACCACUGGAAACGGUGGCUAAUACCGCAUAACGUCGCAAGACCAAAGAGGGGGACCUUCGGGCCUCUAACUUGUCGAAGAAACAAGAUGGGAUUAGCUAGUAGGCGGGGUAAUGGCCCACCUAGGCGACGAUCCCUAGAUGGUCUGAGAGGAUGACCAGCCACACUGGAACUGAGACACGGUCCAGACUCCUACGGGAGGCAGCAGUGGGGAAUAUUGCACAAUGGGCGCAAGCCUGAUGCAGCCAUGUCGCGUGUAUGAAGAAGGCCUUCGGGUUGUAAAGUACUUUCAGCGGGGAGGAAGGCGGUGCGGUUAAUAACCGCGCCGAUUGACGUUACCCGCAGAAGAAGCACCGGCUAACUCCGUGCCAGCCGCCGCGGUAA
rnacentral:rRNA from 1 species